AGUGAGAUAACUGGGUCAAAUGGUGGUUCCAUUCCAAGUUUUCUAAGUAAUAUCCGAACUGCUUUCCAGAAUUAUUGCACCAAUUUGCAGUCUCACCAGCAAU
rnacentral:pre_miRNA from 1 species